rnacentral:rRNA from 1 species
UACAGAGGUCUCAACCGUUGUUCGGAUUCAUUGGGCGUAAAGGGCGCGUAGGCGGCGACCCAAGUCAGAUGUGAAAGUCCUGGGCUUAACCUGGGGACUGCAUUUGAUACUGGGUUGCUUGAAUUCGGGAGAGGAUAGCGGAAUUCCCAGUGUAGAGGUGAAAUUCGUAGAUAUUGGGAAGAACACCGGUGGCGAAGGCGGCUAUCUGGACCGACAUUGACGCUGAGGCGCGAAAGCGUGGGGAGCAAACAGG